CAGAAAACAGGUUAACAAUUAAGCUUAAUUGACCUCAGGGCCUCUGGCCCUUCUUGUUCCUAUAAAGCCGGGCUAAAUGGCUUCCUCCCCCAGCUUCUCCCGUUGGCUUUACAAGGGCCACAGGUGGCCGGGAGCAAGCGUCAGGGCAUUAACUGAGGGCCUACAGGGGGCCGCACACAACAAGAUGAGGAGGUUCCUGAGGCCUGGACACGACCCUGCGAGGGAGAGGCUCAAGAGGGACCUCUUCCAGUUUAACAAGACGGUGGAGCAUGGCUUCCCCCACCAGCCCAGCGCCCUCGGCUACAGCCCCUCCCUGCGCAUCCUGGCCAUCGGCACCCGCUCUGGGGCUGUCAAGCUCUAUGGUGCCCCAGGGGUGGAGUUCAUGGGCCUGCACCGCGAGAAUAACACCGUGGUGCAGAUCCACUUCCUGCCUGGCCAGUGCCAGCUGGUCACCCUGCUGGACGACAAUAGCCUGCACCUGUGGAGCCUGAAGGUCAAAGGCGGGGUGUCGGAGCUGCAGGAAGAUGAGGCGUUCACGCUGCGUGGCCCCCCGGGGGCUGCCCCCAGCGCCACGCAAAUCACCGUGGUCCUGCCACACUCCUCCCGCCAGCUGCUCUACCUGGGCACCGAAAGUGGCAACGUGUUUGCAGUGCAGCUGCCAGCCUUCCGCGCGCUGGAGGACCGGGCCAUCAGCUCGGACACUGUGCUGCAGCGGUUGCCAGAGGAGGCCCGCCACCGGCGGGCGUUUGAGAUGGUGGAGGCUCUGCAGGAACACCCCCGGGACCCCAGCCAGAUCCUCAUCGGCUACAGCCGGGGUCUCGUAGUCAUCUGGGACCUGCAGGGCAGCCGCGUGCUCGCUCAUUUCCUCAGCAGCCAGCAACUGGAAAACGUCUGCUGGCAGCGGGACAGCCGUCUGAUCGUCAGCUGCCAUUCUGACGGCAGCUACUGCCAAUGGCGCAUGUCCCCCGACGCCCCGCAGCCGGAGCCUGUGCGCAGCUGCGUGCCUUACGGUCCUUUUCCUUGCAAAGCUAUUACCAAAAUCUUCUGGCUGACCACCAAGCAGGGGUUGCCCUUCACCAUCUUCCAGGGCGGCAUGCCGCGGGCCAGCUACGGGGACCGCCACUGCAUCUCCGUGGUCCACAACGGCCAGCAGACAGCCUUCGACUUCACCUCCCGCGUCAUUGAUUUCACUGUCCUCGUCCAGGUGGACCCUGCAGCUGCCUUCGAUGACCCCUAUGCCCUAGUUGUGCUGGCCGAGGAGGAGCUGGUGGUGAUUGACCUACAGACGGCUGGUUGGCCGCCAGUCCAGCCUCCCUACCUGGCCUCCCUACACUGCUCUGCCAUCACCUGCUCCCACCAUGUCUCCAACAUCCCGCUGAAACUGUGGGAACGCAUCAUAGCAGCUGGCAGCCGGCAGAGCACACACUUCUCCCCCAUGGAGUGGCCCAUUGACGGCGGCACCAGCCUGGCCCCGGCCCCGCCGCAGAGGGACCUGCUGCUCACGGGGCAUGAGGACGGCACGGUGCGGUUCUGGGACGCCUCAGGCGUCUGCCUGCGGCUGCUCUAUAAGCUUAGCACCGUGCGGGUGUUCCUCACUGACACAGACCCCAACGAGAGCCUCAGUGCCCAGGGCGAGGAAGAGUGGCCACCCCUCCGCAAGGUGGGCUCCUUUGACCCUUAUAGUGACGAUCCCCGGCUGGGCAUCCAGAAGAUUUUCCUCUGCAAAUACAGCGGCUACCUGGCUGUGGCUGGCACAGCAGGGCAGGUGCUCGUGCUGGAGCUGAACGACGAGGAGGCGGAGCACGCGGUGGAGCAGGUGGAGGCCGACCUGCUGCGGGACCAGGAGGGCUACCGCUGGAAGGGCCACGAGCGGCUGUGUGCCCGCCCGGGGCCUGUGCACUUCGAGCCCGGCUUCCAGCCCUUCGUGCUGGUGCAGUGCCAGCCCCCGGCCGUGGUCACCUCCUUGGCCCUGCACUCCGAGUGGCGGCUCGUGGCCUUCGGCACCAGCCACGGCUUCGGCCUCUUUGACCACCAGCAGCGGCGGCAGGUCUUUGUCAAGUGCACGCUGCACCCCAGCGACCAGCUCGCCUUGGAGGGCCCGCUGUCCCGCGUGAAAUCCCUGAAGAAGUCCCUGCGCCAGUCCUUCCGCCGGAUCCGCCGCAGCCGGGCGUCCAGCAGGAAGCGGCGGCCCGCUGGCCCUCCGGGAGAGGUGCAGGAGGGGAGCAGCAGGGCAGAGCGGACCGGACUGCAGAACAUGGAGCUGGCGCCCGUUCAGCGCAAGAUCGAGGCGCGGUCAGCAGAGGACUCCUUCACGGGUUUCGUCCGGACCCUCUACUUCGCCGACACCUACCUGAGGGACAGUGAGUGGCUGGUCUGAAAUGGGGGGGCCCGGGCAGGCAUCCUCUGGCUUGAGGGUGUGUUGGAAGCUGCUGGCUGAUUUGCCCUUAAGAGGGUUGCUGCUUCCUGAGCUCGGGGAGAGCUGGAGCCCCCGCGCCUGCCUCUUUCCGCGGCCUGGGUCUCUGAGUCUGAUCGCCCUGGCUUCAUACCCAGGCCCCACCACACUCUAGAAGUGUGACCUUGGAUGUGUCACUUAGCCUUUCUGGGUCUUGCUUCUCCCCCUGUAAAAUGGGGGCGUGGCUUCCUCCUAGAGUGGUUGCAUGCAUUGGGACAUGCCACAUGCCUGCUGGUACCCAGGAGGCCCUCUGGAAGCUGUCUGACUGUGUCUCUUUUCCUGCCAGGGUAAGGGUGGGCCGAGGGCUGUUUGCUGCUGUAAUCUUGAGGGCUGAGCCAUCCUGGGCUUGGGAUCAUCUGCACGGGGCCCUUGGUUGUCAGGGAGCCUUGCAGGCCCUUCCUGUCUACAGCAGGACGUAGGCAGGGCCCACAGCAGCUCCAUUUCACAGAGGAAGAAAGUGAAGUUCACUGCCUUUACCUUGGAGUCACACAGGUUCCCGCCACUGCCCCUCGCUGUGGGCUGGCA